GUUUCACGAUUAUCUGAAUAUGGAGUUCAAGGAUUGAUCUUUUCUGAGUUCUUUGUUGCCAUAUUUUCUGUCCAUGUAAUAAGGUUGUGGCUAAAAUAUUGUGUCAAUCGGGCUUGUGUGUUGCUGUUCUAUUCUUGCGUAGUGCAGCUCCGAAGUCGCUGCUACCAGGUGCCCCUGUGCCUAUCAACACUGCUUAUCAACGGGCUAUACCCUUGUAUGGUGGACAUUCACGAAGAGCAAGGUAGGGUUGUUGAAACAAGGAUAGGAUUUUCAUGGCAUGAUUACUACUGCAAGAAGGAUGAAAUACUUUGGUUACAAAUGUGUAGCUCCGGCACCGUUGCUGUUCUGGUCUCGGCCGUGGAGAUGGAACUAUGAUUAAAAGAAAAGAGAACACUACGGAAGGAACCUAAUGAUGCUCAGUGUACUGCUGCUUUCCCACGAUGCUCAUGAUGUCGAAGUCUGCAGUUGCUAGACUGGCCCGAGUAAUUGCUAAGUUUUGUAGAAAAUGUUUAGGCCCAUUUUUGAACGCAUGAAUUUCGUAUAGGCUGUAU
rnacentral:misc_RNA from 1 species